GGAUUACUCCUUUACGCUUUCGCGUUUGGUUGAUAAAGAUUCGCACCUCUAUCAAACCGGGUAAUCCCACCUCUUGGCAAGACCUGCUGUCAGAUCAAAUCUGAACUACUACAUUUUUAGAAUUAUCCGAAAUUUUGGAUAAUUAUACCGGCCAAUCUGCGCGUCUCUUGCCUUUAGUUUUUUACCAAGAUUGUAGUUU
rnacentral:sRNA from 1 species